rnacentral:rRNA from 1 species
GCAAGUCGAGCGGCAGCGGGAAGUAGCUUGCUACUUCGCCGGCGAGCGGCGGACGGGUGAGUAACGCGUAGGAAUCUGCCCGGUAGCGGGGGAUAGCCCAGAGAAAUUUGGAUUAAUACCGCAUACGCCCUACGGGGGAAAGGAGGGGACUCUUCGGAGCCUUCCACUAUCGGAUGAGCCUGCGUGAGAUUAGCUAGUUGGUGGGGUAAAGGCCCACCAAGGCUAUGACGGAUACCUGGUCUGAGAGGAUGAUC